rnacentral:rRNA from 1 species
CUACGGGUGGCAGCAGUGGGGAAUAUUGGACAAUGGGCGCAAGCCUGAUCCAGCAAUGCCGCGUGAGUGAAGACGGCCUUAGGGUUGUAAAACUCUUUCGCUAGGGAAGAUAAUGACUGUACCUAGUAAAGAAGUCCCGGCUAACUCCGUGCCAGCAGCCGCGGUAAUACGGAGGGGACUAGCGUUGUUCGGAAUUACUGGGCGUAAAGAGUUCGUAGGCGGACUGACAAGUUAGAGGUGAAAUCCCAGGGCUCAACCCUGGAACUGCCUUUAAAACUGUCAGUCUAGAGACCGGAAGAGGUUAGGGGAAUACCUAGUGUAGAGGUGAAAUUCGUAGAUAUUAGGUGGAGCACCAGUGGCGAAGGCGCCUAACUGGUCCGGUACUGACGCUGAGGAACGAAAGCGUGGGGAGCAAACAGGAUUAGAUACCCCGGUAGUC